CGGUAAUACGGAGGGUGCAAGCGUUAAUCGGAAUUACUGGGCGUAAAGCGCACGCAGGCGGUCUGUCAAGUCGGAUGUGAAAUCCCCGGGCUCAACCUGGGAACUGCAUUCGAAACUGGCAGGCUAGAGUCUUGUAGAGGGGGGUAGAAUUCCAGGUGUAGCGGUGAAAUGCGUAGAGAUCUGGAGGAAUACCGGUGGCGAAGGCGGCCCCCUGGACAAAGACUGACGCUCAGGUGCGAAAGCGUGGGGAGCAAACAGGAUUAGAUACCCUGGUAGUCCACGCCGUAAACGAUGUCGACUUGGAGGUUGUGCCCUUGAGGCGUGGCUUCCGGAGCUAACGCGUUAAGUCGAC
rnacentral:rRNA from 1 species